rnacentral:rRNA from 1 species
UACGGAGGUGGCAAGCGUUGUUCGGAAUUACUGGGCGUAAAGGGCGCGUAGGCGGCCUGCUAAGUCGGAUGUGAAAUCCCUCGGCUCAACCGAGGAACUGCAUCCGAUACUGGCGGGCUUGAAUCCGGGAGAGGGAUGUGGAAUUCCAGGUGUAGCGGUGAAAUGCGUAGAUAUCUGGAGGAACACCGGUGGCGAAGGCGGCAUCCUGGACCAAUUCUGACGCUGAGGAGCGAAAGCCAGGGGAGCAAACGGG